CCCCCCGCUCUUCUUCUAGGAUAGGAAUCGCUGGAUCUGGAAAAACGGAACGGGGUGUGAUUCCCCGGCGGUCCCGCCACUGUAAUCGAUGAUGAACGCAGAUACGCCAUUGUCCUCUUCGGAUGAGAAGGCCUGUCAGUAAAAAGAGUCGUAAGCCAGGAGACGUUUCCAGAUAAUAAUUUCUUC
rnacentral:ncRNA from 2 species